rnacentral:rRNA from 1 species
CUAGUGGCAAACGGGUGCGUAACACGUAGGUAACCUACCCAGAAGAUGGGGACAACAGAUGGAAACGUCUGCUAAGACCCAAUGUGCUCGAGAGAGUAAAAGCGCAAGCUGCUUCUGGAGGGGCCUGCGGCCUAUCAGGUAGUUGGUGAGGUAACGGCUCACCAAGCCAUCGACGGGUAGGGGCGUGAGAGCGUGGCCCCCACACGGGGACUGAGACACGGGCCAG